rnacentral:miRNA from 1 species
AGAGAGAGGGAGAGAGAGAGAGAGAGAGAUAUAUAUAUAUAUAUAUAUAAAUAUAGAUAGAUAUAGAUAUAGAUAGAUAUAGAUAGAUAUAUAUAUAUAUAUAUCUCUCUCUCUCUCUCUCUCCUCUCUUUCUC